CNANACUUGUCUUUUAAANGAAGNCCUGUAUGAAUGGCAUAACNAGGGCUUAACUGUCUCCCCCCCUCAGUCNAUGAAAUNGAUCUUUCCGUGCAGAAGCGGGAAUCACACCAUAAGACGAGAAGACCCUGUGGAGCUUUAGACAAUAAAUAGCCCCUGUAAAGAAACCUCACUAAAAGAGCUAAAACAAGGGGGGCCCUAUUUUGCUGUCUUUGGUUGGGGCGACCGCGGGGAAACAAAAAACCCCCAUGAGGAAUAAGAACACCUUCUUUAAACCNAGAGUGUCAACUCAAAGUAACAGAAUAUCUGACCUNAAAUGNCCCGGCUAUGCCGAUCAACGAAACCAGUUACCCCAGGGAUAACAGCGCNAUCCUCUCCCAGAGCCCA
rnacentral:rRNA from 1 species